CCGGAAGGCAGCAGUAGGGAAUCUUCCACAAUGGACGCAAGUCUGAUGGAGCAACGCCGCGUGAAUGAAGAAGGCCUUCGGGUCGUAAAAUUCUGUUGUUAGAGAAGAACAUGCAGGAGAGUAACUGUUCUUGUAUUGACGGUAUCUAGCCAGAAAGCCACGGCUAACUACGUGCCAGCAGCCGCGGUAAUACGUAGGUGGCAAGCGUUGUCCGGAUUUAUUGGGCGUAAAGGGAACGCAGGCGGUUUUUUAAGUCUGAUGUGAAAGCCUUCGGCUCAACCGAAGAAUUGCAUUGGAAACUGGAAGACUUGAGUGCAGAAGAGGAGAGUGGAACUCCAUGUGUAGCGGUGGAAUGCGUAGAUAUUAGGAGGAACAUCAGUGGCGAAGGCGGCUUACUGGGCUUUAACUGACGCUGAGGCUCGAAAGCGUGGGGAGCAAACAGGAUUAGAUACCCUGGUA
rnacentral:rRNA from 1 species